CGUUUAUAUGUUAUUUUGAUAUUAGUUAGGUAUUUUCUAGAUAAUAAUUAUAUGUUUGUGAUGUUUUGAAAUGCUUCUUUGCACUCUUUAAGUUAUUUAUCCGAUGGAGACUUUUAUUUUGAAAGACGGCUUGCAGGAAAAAAGGCGCUGCGCCCGCUGAAACACGGAAACAGAGACCGCGGAGAUCGCGGAGAAGGAGAGCACGCGACAGAAACGGAGACGGAACAAAGUUAACAUAAAUAAUUAAGGACACUUUAAAAAAAAAAGGAAAUUAGCAUCGUUUUGUUUUAUUUUAACUUUGAUAUUUUAACACCUGGUUGAAAGGGAGAACAAGCUCUUACGGUGUUGUGACAAUAAAAACACAAAAGGAAGGCAACACAA